CCAGACUCCUACGGGAGGCAGCAGUGGGGAAUAUUGCACAAUGGGGGAAACCCUGAUGCAGCGAUGCCGCGUGGAGGAAGAAGGCUCUCGGGUUGUAAACUUCUUUUAUCAGGGACGAAGCAAGUGACGGUACCUGAUGAAUAAGCCACGGCUAACUACGUGCCAGCAGCCGCGGUAAUACGUAGGUGGCAAGCGUUAUCCGGAUUUACUGGGUGUAAAGGGCGUGUAGGCGGGAAAGCAAGUCAGAUGUGAAAACCAUGGGCUCAACCUGUGGCCUGCAUUUGAAACUGUUUUUCUUGAGUACUGGAGAGGCAGACGGAAUUCCUAGUGUAGCGGUGAAAUGCGUAGAUAUUAGGAGGAACACCAGUGGCGAAGGCGGUCUGCUGGACAGCAACUGACGCUGAGGCGCGAAAGCGUGGGGAGCAAACAGGAUUAGAUACCCUUGUA
rnacentral:rRNA from 1 species